UCGUUUAUAUUGCUUCAGAUCUAAGAACUCUAGGGCAAGUCAGAUUUCCAGUUCUUGAACUCUAUAGUUGAUGCUCUCUUUCAUAACCAUAUUCUGCAAGUGAAGAGCUUGGAGGAGACCCUAAACUGCUUCUAAGGGAAGUGAUAGAGAACUUAGCAAAAGACUUCCCUCCAACAUACUUAGUUGUCCAGCAUGCUGACCUUGCUUCAGUGAAAUUGGCUACUUCGAUGUAUAGGGGUGGUCAUGGGAUGUCAUACAAGGUCACCUUUGCAAGGAGAAUGAAACAGUUUCAGGAGAUGCAAUGAACCCAAUGACACCUGAACUCGGUCAAGGUGGAUGACCAGCAGUUGAGGAUGCAGCUGUUCUUGGCCGGCACAUUGGGAAUUCAUUCCUCCAAAAUGGGCAUCGAAUCAUCCGGAAGUGGUAGAUAGAGUUAUAGAAGGGUAUGUGAAGGAGAGGAGAUGGCAUGCCUUCGGUUUGAUCAUUGGAUCCUGUCUUCCAGGCUGGGCACAACAAGUGAAGUCAGGAUGGUUGACGAAGCUAAUUAGGGAUAUAAUUUUAUUUAAGUUGAUAUACAGUUUUUCUUUGGUUCAACAUACUUUGAUUGUGGGGAGUUGCGUAGAGUUCCCACUAUGGUUGAUUAGAGCUUCUGAUCAAAUUUGUUACAUUGUGUUGGGGUUGAUGCAGCCCUAUGGGAGGAAUAACUUAUGGUCUUAUAAUGUUAUUGAAAAGGCUUUAAAUAGCCCUACAGAAUCCUAAAUACUACAAAUCCCAUUGCAACCCCACAA